CUCAAAAAUCGGCCUCGAGGCCGAGGCCGGCCUCGAGACCUCCAACACUGGUGAUUUGAUUAUAACUCAAAGUGUGCAUACUACUCGAAACAAAAAUAUAUCUCAUCACAUGGUAUCAACACGAUUUUCAAGAGCUCUAAGUGACAGAUACUGGUUACUUUUAAAAUCGCACAUUUUGCGAGAAUUCUUAGAACUUACCAUUGCCCUCAAGCAGCAGAUCCAGCAGCUCAGGUUCCUGGACAUGUGGUAGAGGUGCGCCCUGUCUCUCCCAGACUUCUAUUCUUGGCUCCUUCUCGUCGAUGUUCAUUGGCAUUCCCGGCUCAUCUGUCUGGGCAUGCUGAAAAGAAAACAGAUUAUAAUAUAUCCAUGUAAACAGACACGGAAUCAAACAAAACUAAAAUGAGAACAUUAAUGAACAAGCAAUUAAGUCUAAAAAAAACCCAGAACAACUUGGGCACUCAGACCAACGAGCCACAACUUGGGUGCUCAAACCCACCCACAACUUUAAGUGGGACACUGUCUAGCUAAGAUGUAGAUAUAACACAGCACAGUAAAAGGAUACAAAUAAAAUUCAGCUUCUUCAUUGUCACCGUUUAACUUUUAGUUUGGAAAAUAAUACAUUGUUUGGGGUUUCAUAAACUUCAGUUCACACUUUUUCCCUCUGGUCCUAACUUAUCAGGCUCGCAAUAAAAAGCAAAAUAAAAAACCUCUGAAUUAAUUAUACUCACAGUUGUUGCAAGCUCUGCAUUGUCUUGGAACAGCUCGUGGCAGACAUGGCAAUACCAACG